UACGUAGGUGGCAAGCGUUGUCCGGAAUUACUGGGUGUAAAGGGAGCGUAGGCGGUUUGGUAAGUUGAGUGUGAAAUCUACCGGCUUAACUGGUAGGCUGCGCUCAAAACUACCAAACUUGAGUGAAGUAGAGGCAGGCGGAAUUCCCGGUGUAGCGGUGGAAUGCGUAGAUAUCGGGAGGAACACCAGUGGCGAAGGCGGCCUGCUGGGCUUUUACUGACGCUGAUGCUCGAAAGCAUGGGGAGCAAACAGGAUUAGAUACCCUGGUAGUCCAUGCCGUAAACGAUGGAUACUAGGUGUGGGUAAGCAAUUAUCCGUGCCGCAGCUAACGCAAUAAGUAUCCCACCUGGGGAGUACGGCCGCAAGGUUGAA
rnacentral:rRNA from 1 species